rnacentral:rRNA from 1 species
GUCGAGGGGCAGCAUCAUCAAAGCUUGCUUUGAUGGAUGGCGACCGGCGCACGGGUGAGUAACACGUAUCCAACCUGCCGACAACACUGGGAUAGCCUUUCGAAAGAAAGAUUAAUACCGGAUGGCAUAGUUUUCCCGCAUGGGAUAAUUAUUAAAGAAUUUCGGUUGUCGAUGGGGAUGCGUUCCAUUAGGCAGUUGGCGGGGUAACGGCCCACCAAACCAACGAUGGAUAGGGGUUCUGAGAGGAAGGUCCCCCACAUUGGAACUGAGACACGGUCCAAACUCCUACGGGAGGCAGCAGUGAGGAAUAUUGGUCAAUGGACGAGAGUCUGAACCAGCCAAGUAGCGUGAAGGAUGACUGCCCUAUGGGUUGUAAACUUCUUUUAUACGGGAAUAAAGUUAGCCACGUGUGGCUUUUUGUAUGUACCGUAUGAAUAAGGAUCGGCUAACUCCGUGCCAGCAGCCGCGGUAAUACGGAGGAUCCGAGCGUUAUCCGGAUUUAUUGGGUUUAAAGGGAGCGUAGGCGGGUUGUUAAGUCAGUUGUGAAAGUUUGCGGCUCAACCGUAAAAUUGCAGUUGAUACUGGCGACCUUGAGUGCAACAGAGGUAGGCGGAAUUCGUGGUGUAGCGGUGAAAUGCUUAGAUAUCACGAAGAACUCCGAUUGCGAAGGCAGCUUACUGGAUUGUAACUGACGCUGAUGCUCGAAAGUGUGGGUAUCAAACAGGAUUAGAUACCCUGGUAGUCCACACAGUAAACGACGAAUACUCGCUGUUGGCGAUAUACAGUCAGCGGCCAA